UACGUAGGGGGCAAGCGUUGUCCGGAAUCAUUGGGCGUAAAGCGCGUGUAGGCGGUCUCGCAAGUCGGGUGUGAAAGCCCAGGGCUCAACCCUGGAAGUGCAUUCGAUACUGCGAGGCUAGAGUCCCGGAGAGGAUGGUGGAACUCUCGGUGUAGAGGUGAAAUUCGUAGAUAUCGAGAAGAACACCGGUGGCGAAGGCGGCCAUCUGGACGGUGACUGACGCUGAGACGCGAAAGCGUGGGGAGCAAACAGG
rnacentral:rRNA from 1 species